GCGAAGCCUGAUCCAGCCAUGCCGCGUGUGUGAAGAAGGUCUUCGGAUUGUAAAGCACUUUAAGUUGGGAGGAAGGGCAGUAAGUUAAUACCUUGCUGUUUUGACGUUACCGACAGAAUAAGCACCGGCUAACUCUGUGCCAGCAGCCGCGGUAAUACGA
rnacentral:rRNA from 1 species